UGGAAUAAUCUAGUCUUUAUCCUUACUUGAUUCAUUUCGUGCCAGCUAGUGAAAAAAGGUCGUGACGAAUUCAAAUUUCUGCAAGCAAGCAAUCCAAUUGGCUGUCGCUAGGUGGAUAAAAUGAUGUCCACCAGGUUGCGUGAGUGUCUUCACUCUUCAGGGACAAAUGGAAAUGGGCUGCUGGUCGUGACGUCUGUACCCAGGCGCCAGGUGUGUGUCGUCCAAUGCACCAGCAAAAAUAAGUCUGUGCUGGUUACUUUGUUGCAGCCAGCUGGCGAUAGGUUUUCCUUUUGCAGACUUGCUACCUGUACUGGUUGUAAGUUUAGUCAUAUACAGAAACAAUUCUAAAGCAGUUUUUAAAAGCAAGUCGAAGAUCUUUCCUUUCUCCAUUUGUUUGCUGCCCUGUUAUGAAAAUGUGUGUUUGAGAGGGUCUCUACUAUAUGUUGCAAGACAAAAAUGUGAUCAAAACAGAAAAUCUGAAAUGUUUGGUGGUACAGUGGUUUUCCAGUUGAGAGAUGUGCUGAAAUGGAGCUUGUGCAGACUUGCAGUUCAACACCAUACUUUAAUGUGUCAUUUGCCUAUUUUGAUAUCCAUGCAGUAGGCCUAUAUGCAGUUGGGUAAUAGUUAAUGUUGCCUGAUGGCUGUCGGGCUUAUUUUAUCGGCUUCGUUUUGUCGAUACGUCGUCUCUUGCUACCUGUACCGGCGUUUAGUUUAAUCGUUGCUACCGUUCCAUAUACUUGAUCCAUUAGUAAUACUGAGGAGAGACUGCUGAAAUUCAAGACUCGUCAUUUCGUCAAUAAAUUAUGUAGAUGUAGAUAUAAAUUACAAGUGCAUAUCUGGGCUCCCUUCUUCAGUGGCCCCGUUUCCCUAAAUAACCACUAACCAACGCCCGCCGGUGGUUACUCACUCGCUACGACAACCAGGAGGAAGGGAGUGGACUGGUCGAACGGGGACUUGCAAGGCGCAUGAUUCGAUGAAAUCUGUUGGAGGGUCAUGAGUCUAAGCCGGAAGCCUACUGAGAUUAAUCGCUCUCGUAAUAACUGCUCCUCGGCUCUCUUCGCUCUUUUUCCGGUUUCUCUUAACCAUGGCCAGAACAACGCCUCCUUUGAGCGGUCCGGACAAUCCUGAAUUCUUUAGGGUUACCAUUCCAUCGAGGCUUAAACGAGGGUAUUACCCAGAUGACGCAGAGGUGUUGCCCAUUGAGGGGUUUUGGUGACGAGGAGUCACUGAACGAAACACUAAACCAAAUGAAAAAAAAAAUCAUGAAAAAGGUAAUGCUAGGUACGACAUGAAGCUUUUGCUUUCGCAGGAAAUAAUUUGAAUUUGUUUGGAGCCAACGAUCCUGUAUAUAUCCGAGCCGAGUCCUUUCCGUCUACAUUCGGUGUGAAGAGCAAAACCCAAAUUUCAACACAUUUUACUGCUUAGCAACGAAAACAAAGCGAGUAUCAAAACAUUGUUUUACUUGCGCAUACUUUACUGGGGCAUAAACGCGUUGGUCAUGUAACAGGGUGGAAUUUUUUUCCCUUUUGUUCAUGCUGCAUCAAACGACACGCGAUAGGUUCCGGCGGUAAUCAACUUUUCAAGAUGGUAGACAUGUCAAUGAUAAAGACAGGAUUUUCUUCUCCGACCGCAGGUGCAAGGAAUAUGUUUGAAACUUAGAAAAGUUUGCAGUAGAAUAUUUUAUAAAACCCGACUCCUUCAAACGGUUCGAAAUGGAAGAUUUAUUCAUUCACCGAAGAAACGAGUCAAAUGACUCAAAAUGUCAAAUGUGGUAUUUUUAAAGUGACUAAAAUUUAAGCCAUUAUCAUUUAUGAUUUGAUAUUUAUUUUGAUAUUGGUUUUUGUUGACCCAUCCCCAGCAACGUCAACCUGCAGAAAGAAAAAGGCCAGUUUCUAUGACCUUGACACUCGAAGGACACGGAGAUCAUUACGUAAAACGUGUCAUGCAGUGGUGUAGAGGUUGGGUGAGAACGGGACGUUUUGCUUCAUUAUCAAGAAGGUAAAAUAGCCAUUAGGGUUAAGAGAAGGGGUGAGAAAAAAAAAUUGUAUAAAAGGCGAGAGAAAAGUUGACAGGGAUUAGUCGAGUGAGCAUCUCCGACACGGCAACAACUCCAUAUUUCGUCGUAAUAUCAGUUCGCAAUCAUGGCUAAUUAUGGCAUUGGGUUGCUGUUGGGUGUUGUAUCGUUGAUGUCGACCACGAGAGAAAAUCUUUUAAAAGGAAAGAGAAAAGGCAACAGAAGUCAACCGAGUGAGCAUCUCUGACCCGGCAACAACUGCAUUCUUCGUCAUAUUACCAGGUCGUAAUCACGGUUACCUAUGCCGUCAUGCUGCUAUUGGUUGUUGUAUCGUCGAUGGCUGGAUCGAUCAUCGAUCACUGGUGUACCGACGUAUCCUGGUUAAGGUGGAUACCAAACCACAACGCAACCGCCUUACUAAACAACAUACGCAACGACCUGAUACUACACCGAGGUUGCACUGUUGGGUUUACAAUUAAACCACCAAGGAUCCAAAUUAUUACACCACAACUUGUGCUGCUCCUCGAGCUACACUACCGAAGCGCUACAGUACUACACCGAGGCACCUACCGAGACUACGCAACUACGUAUGCUGCCCCAACCUACGACACCGAGGCUCCAGCUUAUUACAUCACCAAAGCUGUCGAAUUCUACACUGGAGCGCCCAAGUACGACAGAAAUCAGUCAAGUGAGCUUCUCCGACACCCAACACGGCAACCCCGAAGUUUCGAAUAAACUUCGUUUCAAACAGUGUAACGGCAAAGAGUGAAGACGAAUUCGACUGCAAUCACGUCGAAUUGAAUA